UACGUAGGGUGCAAGCGUUAAUCGGAAUUACUGGGCGUAAAGCGUGCGCAGGCGGUUUUGUAAGUCUGUCGUGAAAUCCCCAGGCUUAACCUGGGAAGUGCGCGGAAAACUGGCGAGCUUGAGUGCCGGAGAGGGUCGCGGAAUUCCCGGUGUAGAGGUGAAAUUCGUAGAUAUCGGGAGGAACACCAGUGGCGAAGGCGGCGACCUGGACGGACACUGACGCUGAGACGCGAAAGCGUGGGGAGCAACAGGG
rnacentral:rRNA from 1 species